GUCUGAUCCUUCUGAUGACUAAUAACACUCAGCUGAGGUGUAGGUUGGUACUAAAAGUUCACUCAGUGGAUUACAUUAGAUAAAUGACCAUUGUGGGGCUCAAUUCCACUGUGUCGGCAUCUUUGGGCUGGCACGUAACCAAGGGAUGUAACCUACUUUUGCCUUCUGCUGAGGGCAUUCAUCUCUAAUGGUGUGCUGCUUUUCAGCCUCACCUUGACCAGACCGUCCACUUGAGAGGCCCAAUCAAGACUCCUUGAUUUGGCCCUCUUGAGCCAUGUCACACUGGGCUGAAACAGAAUAUGCUUUUUUCUUCUCUUGAACCCUACAACAGUGACUAGUGUGUUCUUUGAGUGAAUUGGCUCUUUGAGCCAGGCAGUUGAGAGACUUAAAUGUUGCUUGGGCUAUUUGUAGUAAACUCAGUAUUAGAAAUGCUAAAUAAAACCUUUUAGUGUUUGGGGAAAACGAAUCAGAAAUUGAGGACUUGUCACCUGUUUUAGGUUCUAGUAUUCUCGUGGCACCUGUAGAAGGAUUAUCGAAAACUUGAACAGAGCUUUCUGGGCAGUUCUGGGGGCAAUGAAG
rnacentral:lncRNA from 10 species